AUGGCGGCGCGUGGGCGGGUGGACGAACGCCUAGGAGGGACACGGCUAAGGGCGGCGACUGAUAGGGUGGCUCGGGUGCGGGGUAGGAGCAAUUCGGGAGGUAGCGCUGGUUCUUCUAUAAAAAUCCCACGCCCCCAAGGUUUGCUGCUGGAGCAAACACGCAUCUCGCUCGUGCACUGGCAGAUGCUCGCCUUGCUCACCGGGGCAGUCACCAGUGAGAUGACGACGUUGACUGUGGAGGAUGUGCAGCGGGUGAACGGCAGCCGCCGGUUCGCCGCCGCGCUGGCCGCCGCCUCCCCCUUCAGCUCUCUCACCGACGCGCUACUCGCCGCCCGCCGCAUCUGGGGCAACGAUGCACCCCAUCUUUCUUGUGUCAUGUGGUAUCCUGAUCCAUGGAAUACCACGGUUCAAAGGCGUUAUGCAAAUAGGUUGAUUGUUGAGCUUGAGAUUGCGGCAGAGGAAGAACUCAAGAUAACUGAGUUGCGCCUUGCAAAGCUUUUCUCGUCAGAUUCUGCUGCUCCACCGACUUCAGUUUUUGGCCAACCGGAUAAAACAUCAGAAUGGCACCACAUAAGUAAUGAGCAAUCAGGAUAUGUUGCCAUGAGUAUGAGGUACAACACCUGGAGAAGGGAGUUGUUGGAAGUGAUGCCAAAAGACACCGAGACAAUUGGGGAGUAUGUUUAUGAAGAGCCAGAUCUAUCAGGUGGAGUCGGAGGGAUUGACUACAUCAUUGCCUAUGGAGACGAAAACAAAUAA
rnacentral:rRNA from 1 species